AGUGAAGCAGCUGUGCAGGUGGACCAAGCUGCGAGAGGAACGGUUCUGCCUGGAUCACUCGGUGUUCAGCUUCUCUGCCACAAAUUGUCCAAAGGAAAGAGCAUCUGACUAAAUUUAACAGGCAGACAAGGAGGACACUCCCAUGCCUGCUGGACUGGAAAACUCCUUUCAGAAAUCAGUGCGGCAGAAAACAGCUGGAUUUAUACUCAAAGGAAAAAGAAAAGAUGAUUUACUGUAUCUUUGUUUUGGAGGGUUUAGAGGAAUUCAGCAGGGAGGUUUUGUGGUUCUAUAGGGAGAAGCCAGCCCUGGCAAUUCUGAAUUAAGCCCCCAGAAAAUGGAAACUGUACACAUUAGUGUGACAGCCAUCAUACAGAAAUACAGAUCAGAUGGGUUUCCCUUGUUGUGCAUCCAAUUUUAACAAUCCCAGCUUUUUAUUACUGUUAUUUUAAAAAUCCCAGCUGCACCGCGUUUUCAGGAAAAGAAACAGCAGAAACAGGUAUGACUGGGGCCUUUGCCCUUUUAAAUCUUGCCUGUGGUACAUCGGCACCUCCACACUGUGCAGCUACCAAGAUUAACAUCUUCUGGAGACUCCGGAAGCUGCCUUCCAUAAUCCAGGGAAGAUGGAAAGGACGGCGUUGACCUUCAGACGUGUUAAUGGUGGACAAAGUCUGGGUUCUUGGGUGUUCAAACAGGUGAUUGGGCUGUCAGGAACAGAGCCCUCCCCUCAACAAGUGGCACAGACUACAAAUGCCUAUGAACAGUGCUUGUCUGAUUGCCGUCUUCCACUCAGCCAAGUAAAACACAAUUGGCAAAUUACAAAACAGAUGAACAUGCUCCUAUUUUUUGGCACAUAAAAGGAAACCUGCUUUAUCCAGCCACAUCUGUUUCUUUGAUUUAAUUCCGUGCUCAUUCCUGUUAGCAUUGGAUGAGUGGUUUGGCAAAUACAUUGCAGCCCGCUUCACUG
ensembl:lncRNA